rnacentral:rRNA from 1 species
GCCUGUCCUACAACCGAUAACCCACGAUCAACCUCACCCAUCUUUGCAACAACAGUCUAUAUACCUCCGUCGCCAGCCCGCCUGAAAACAGAAACAAAGCGAGUACAACAGCCCGCCGCUAAGACGACAGGUCAAGGUGUAACUCAUAGAUGGGGCAGAGAUGGGCUACAUUUCCUAACAUAGAAAACACCUAUCCCGCCAUGAAACUUGCGCAAAAAGGUGGAUUUAGCAGUAAGUCAGACAAGAAAAGCCUGCCUGAAACCCGCCCUGGAAUGUGU